rnacentral:rRNA from 1 species
UGGAUCCAGACUUUGAUUCUGGCUCAGGAUGAACGCUAGCUACAGGCUUAACACAUGCAAGUCGAGGGGAAACGACAUCGAAAGCUUGCUUUUGAUGGGCGUCGACCGGCGCACGGGUGAGUAACGCGUAUCCAACCUGCCCAUCACUUGGGAAUAACCUUGCGAAAGUAAGACUAAUACCCAAUGAUAUCCCACGAAGGCAUCCGAAUGGGAUUAAAGAUUUAUCGGUGAUGGAUGGGGAUGCGUCUGAUUAGCUUGUUGGCGGGGUAACGGCCCACCAAGGCAACGAUCAGUAGGGGUUCUGAGAGGAAGGUCCCCCACAUUGGAACUGAGACACGGUCCAAACUCCUACGGGAGGCAGCAGUGAGGAAUAUUGGUCAAUGGGCGAGAGCCUGAACCAGCCAAGUAGCGUGCAGGAUGACGGCCCUAUGGGUUGUAAACUGCUUUUAUAAGGGAAUAAAGUGAGUCUCGUGAGACUUUUUGCAUGUACCUUAUGAAUAAGGACCGGCUAAUUCCGUGCCAGCAGCCGCGGUAAUACGGAAGGUCCGGGCGUUAUCCGGAUUUAUUGGGUUUAAAGGGAGCGUAGGCCGGAGAUUAAGCGUGUUGUGAAAUGUAGAGGCUCAACCUCUGCACUGCAGCGCGAACUGGUCUUCUUGAGUACGCACAACGUGGGCGGAAUUCGUGGUGUAGCGGUGAAAUGCUUAGAUAUCACGAAGAACCCCGAUUGCGAAGGCAGCUCACGGGAGCGCAACUGACGCUGAAGCUCGAAAGUGCGGGUAUCGAACAGGAUUAGAUACCCUGGUAGUCCGCACGGUAAACGAUGGAUGCCCGCUGUUGGCCCGAAUAGGUCAGCGGCCAAGCGAAAGCAUUAAGCAUCCCACCUGGGGAGUACGCCGGCAACGGUGCAACUCAAAUGAAUUGACGGA